rnacentral:lncRNA from 1 species
AAUUAAUUUAUGUUUUCAUCUUCCCUGUAUCAAGAGUUCACCUGCAAUGUAUAAGAAGUAAGAACUGCCAGCAGAACAGGCAUUUCCAAGAUGUAGGUCACCCACUACCAUGAAUCCUAGCUUGAGCUACUUGUUGCGCCAGCUAUUGACUGUGUAAAAAAAUCUAAAAAUGAGAGUAGGCUCUUUGACUGCAAUAUAUGACACAGACAAAGCAAUAACUACUUGUGAAAUAUUUACUGAGUGGGACUAUCUGCCCCCGUUGGACCCCACCCAACAAAAGUAUUUGUGGGACUCAAAGACGCUGGUGCUACUUAUCAAAUACAUGCUGUGAUCCAGCAGCUAUACCUGAUCCCUGUCAUCGGCCACAGCAUUUCUACCAUUGAAAACACAGGUAGUGACAUAGAUGAUGAUCGUGGGGCUGGGAAAUGAG